rnacentral:ncRNA from 1 species
UCUAGUGUGACACUGAAGAGACAUGAGAGGUGUAGAAUAAGUGGGAGGCAUCCAGGUUGCCAGUAAAAUACCACUACCAUUAUAAGUUUUUUCACUUACCUGGUGUGGCACUUAUCCUGCUGAUUCUGCCAGGUCCAUUCCCUUGGCUGUGGUUUAGCUAGAUUGUACGUAGGGA